rnacentral:lncRNA from 10 species
UGAUGAGUGUGCCAAAGAGACUUUCUCUCUUCAGGUGUGUUUUUUUCUUCCUUUUUCAAUCUCAGUUUUCUUACUGUCACAAACACUACUAAUUGUUCCUCAAUAACUAUUCUUAUCUUUUUCCAUUGCAAUAGAAUUUUGGUAGGGCACACAGCCCCCAAAAUAAAGACUAUUUCUUAGCCUUUCUUCCAGCUUGGUGUAGCCAUAAGUUCUGGCCAAUGGAGGUAAGCAUAGGUGACACAUCCCACUUCUAGAUUGAGUCAUUAAAGGAAGAGGUAUCCCUUUUCUCCCCCACUCUGACCUACUGCUUCAAAAGUGGAUAUGGUGGCCAGAUAACUUGGACCAUGUGGAUGACAGCAAUAUCCUUGAGCUAUGGAGCAGCAAAAGAGAAUAAGCCUGGGUCUCCAGAGAAUCUAACAGGGCAAAGCCAGCCCUACCAGCCCCAGACCCUCUAUCUCUGGACUACAUGAUCCUUUACAGCCUAAGGUGAGGAAAUAGCCAUGAUGGCAGCCCAGGAGAACUGUGGCUUCACUUGGAGUUGACACAGCAGAAAAGAAAAAAAGAAUGUUCCCAGAAGAAUUUAUAAGAAAAACACAUCUUAUACUCAAGUCUCAAAGUAAUAGAGAAGAGGAGAAAUGUCACCAGC